rnacentral:rRNA from 1 species
AUUGAACGCUGGCGGCAUGCUUUACACAUGCAAGUCGAACGGUAACAGGCCGCAAGGUGCUGACGAGUGGCGAACGGGUGAGUAAUGCAUCGGAACGUGCCCAGUCGUGGGGGAUAACGCAGCGAAAGCUGCGCUAAUACCGCAUACGAUCUAUGGAUGAAAGCGGGGGACCGUCAGGCCUCGCGCGAUUGGAGCGGCCGAUGUCAGCUUAGGUAGUUGGUGGGGUAAAGGAUCACCAAGUCAACGAUCUGUAGCUGUGCUGAGAGGACGACCAGCCACACCGGGAAUGAGACACGGACCAGACUCCUAAGGGAGGCAGCAGGUGGGAAUUUUGGACAAUGGGCGCAAGCCUGAUCCAGCAAUGCCGCGUGCAGGAAGAAGGCCUUCGGGUUGUAAACUGCUUUUGUACGGAACGAAACGGUCCUGGUUAAUACCCGGGGCUAAUGACGGUACCGUAAGAAUAAGCACCGGCUAACUACGUGCCAGCAGCCGCAGUAAUAC